rnacentral:rRNA from 1 species
UGCAUCGAUGAAGAACGCAGCGAAAUGCGAUACGUAGUGUGAAUUGCAGAAUUCCGCGAAUCAUCGAGUCUUUGAACGCAAGUUGCGCCCGAGGCUUGUCCGAGGGCAUUUCCGCUAGAGCGUCACCGCGCCCCCCACCGAUCCGCUCCCGCCGCGAGGCGCCAGUCGGGUCGAGUGCAAGUGGCCGUCCCGGCGAAGUGGCCUUCUUUCACGAGGAGUCCGUACUUGGAAGGGUCGGCUGAGAUGGAUGGAAUUGGGCCGCCGUGGUGACACAGUCCGCGAUCGGGUGAUUUUGUCGCGAGCCUCCCCCGGGAGGCUCUUGGUGAAUUUUUCUAAGUGCUUGGCUGCGUCCCCCAGUUGGCUCGGGUUACCUCAUGCAGGUCGAGCGCGCCCCCGCGGCGCGCGUCACGCAUCAGACCUCUAAUCGGAAAAGACUACCCGCUGAGUUUAAGCAUAUCAAUAAGCGGAG